rnacentral:Y_RNA from 1 species
GGCUAGUCCGAGUGCAGUGGUGUUUACAACUAAUUGAUCACAACCAGUUACAGAUUUCUUUGUUCCUUCUCCACUUCCACUACUUCACUUGACUAGUCUUUA